UUACUACUCCCUUCGUUCCGAAUUACUUGUCGCAGGUAUGGAUGUAUCUAGAUGUAUUUAGUUCUAGAAACAUCCAUUUCUGCGACAAGUAAUUUGGAACGGAGGGAGUAGAUG
rfam:Triticum urartu cultivar G1812 contig1089675, whole genome shotgun sequence.